rnacentral:misc_RNA from 1 species
ACGCCUUCUAGAUCAUCUGAGACAGUAAGAUGCACUACUCCAUUGGUAGCCAUUAUUUUAGGUCCACCAAGUUGCAUGUGAGAGCUGUAGACCUCACGGCCAAGGAGUUUGUUCAAUGCAGAGAAACCAGUCAAAAUAAUGGGCUGAUCAAGCCUCUGUAUGCACCGCAUCCCAAGCCGAGCUAAAUAAGCACCAAUUCCCACUGUUCUACCAGUCACAUAUGUUAAUGUAAAGGUUUCCUUGUAUGCCCUAGAAUAUGCACUCGCAAUGGCCCCACUUCCAGAUAAGUUCUCUACCCCCAGGCCAUCCUCCUUGCCAACAAUGGCUUCUAUCACCCAUC